UACGGAGGGUGCAAACGUUGCUCGGAAUCAUUGGGCGUAAAGCGCACGUAGGCGGUCCAGCAAGUCGGGUGUGAAAGCCCUCGGCUUAACCGAGGAAGUGCAUUCGAAACUACUGGGCUUGAGUACUGAAGAGGAUCGCGGAAUUCCCGGUGUAGAGGUGAAAUUCGUAGAUAUCGGGAGGAACACCGGUGGCGAAGGCGGUUCUCUGGGCAUUACCUGACGCUGAGGAGCGAAAGUGUGGGGAGCGAACAGG
rnacentral:rRNA from 1 species